rnacentral:rRNA from 1 species
GUGGGGAAUUUUGGACAAUGGGCGCAAGCCUGAUCCAGCCAUUCCGCGUGCAGGAUGAAGGCCUUCGGGUUGUAAACUGCUUUUGUACGGAACGAAAAGCCUCUGGUUAAUACCCGGGGGUCAUGACGGUACCGUAAGAAUAAGCACCGGCUAACUACGUGCCAGCAGCCGCGGUAAUACGUAGGGUGCGAGCGUUAAUCGGAAUUACUGGGCGUAAAGCGUGCGCAGGCGGUGAUGUAAGACAGUUGUGAAAUCCCCGGGCUCAACCUGGGAACUGCAUCUGGGACUGCAUGGCUGGAGUGCGGCAGAGGGGGAUGGAAUUCCGCGUGUAGCAGUGAAAUGCGUAGAUAUGCGGAGGAACACCGAUGGCGAAGGCAGUCCCCUGGGCCUGCACUGACGCUCAUGCACGAAAGCGUGGGGAGCAAACAGGAUUAGAAACCCCGGUAGUCC